rnacentral:rRNA from 1 species
UACGUAGGGGGCAAGCGUUGUCCGGAAUCAUUGGGCGUAAAGAGCGUGUAGGCGGCUCGAUAAGUCCGCUGUGAAAGUCCAGGGCUCAACCCUGGAAUGCCGGUGGAAACUGUCGAGCUAGAGUCCGGAAGAGGCGAGUGGAAUUCCUGGUGUAGCGGUGAAAUGCGCAGAUAUCAGGAGGAACACCAAUGGCGAAGGCAGCUCGCUGGGACGGUACUGACGUUGAGACGCGAAAGCGUGGGGAGCAAACAGG